rnacentral:misc_RNA from 1 species
GAUGAAGAACGUAGCGAAAUGCGACAAGUAAUGUGAAUUGCAGAAUUCCGUGAAUCAUCGAAUCUUUGAACGCACAUUGCGCCCGCUAGUAUUCUGGCGGGCAUGCCUGUCCGAGCGUCAUUUCAACCCUCAAGCCCCUCCGGGGGCCUGGCGUUGGGGAUCGGCCCCGCUCCGGCGGCCGGCCCCGAAAUGUAGUGGCGGUCUCGCCGCUGCCUCCUCUGCGUAGUAGAAACACCUCGCAUUGGGACGCGGCGGGCCCACGCCGUUAACCAGAUGAAUUUUUUCAAGGUUGACCUCGGAUCAGGUAGGAAUACCCGCUGAACUUAAGCAUAUCAAUAAGCGGAGGA